GCCCAGGCGCGAAAACUUUACACUGCGGGAAACCGUGAUAAGGGGACACCGAGUGCCAGCAUCAUAUGCUGGCUGUCCAGGUGUGUAAAAUACACCUGUUAGCAAGGGCCGGGCAAGACCGGUGCCAGCCGCCGCGGUAACACCGGCGGCCCGAGUGGUGAUCGUGAUUAUUGGGUCUAAAGGGUCCGUAGCCGGUUUGGUCAGUCCUCCGGGAAAUCUGACGGCUCAACCGUUAGGCUUUCGGGGGAUACUGCCAGGCUUGGAACCGGGAGAGGUAAGAGGUACUACAGGGGUAGGAGUGAAAUCUUGUGAUCCCUGUGAGACCACCUGUGGCGAAGGCGUCUUACCAGAACGGGUUCGACGGUGAGGGACGAAAGCUGGGGGCACGAACCGGAUUAGAUACCCGGGUAGUCCCAGCCGUAAACGAUGCUCGCUAGGUGUCAGGCAUGGCGCGACCGUGUCUGGUGCCGCAGGGAAGCCGUGAAGCGAGCCACCUGGGAAGUACGGCCGCAAGGCUGAAACUUAAAGGAAUUGGCGGGGGAGCAC
rnacentral:rRNA from 1 species